GUCUUUUUGAAUUUAUUUUUUUAAAGUUUAACCUGCCCAGUGAAUAAUUUUUUAACGGCCGCAGUAUAUUGACUGUGCAAAGGUAGCAUAAUCAAUAGUCUUUUAAUUGAAGGCUAGAAUGAAUGGUUGGACGAAAUAUUAACUGUUUCAUUUAAAUUUAUAAUAAAACUUUAUUUUUUAGUUAAAAAGCUAAAAUUUAUUUAAAAGACGAGAAGACCCUAUAAAUCUUUAUAUUUAAAUUAUUAUAAAUUUAUAGAAUUAUUUUUUUAUGUUAAUAUUAAAUAUUUUAUUGGGGUGAUAUUAAAAUUUGAAUAACUUUUAAUUUUAUAUAACAUUAAUUUAUGAAUUAUUGAUCCAAUAUUAUUGAUUAAAAAUUUAAGUUACUUUAGGGAUAACAGCGUAAUUUUUUUGGAGAGUUCUUAUCGAUAAAAAAUAUUGCGACCUCGAUGUUGGAUUAAGAUAUAAUUUUAGGUGUAGCCGCUUAAAUUUUAAGUCUGUUCGACUUUUAAAUUCUUACGUG
rnacentral:rRNA from 1 species